rnacentral:rRNA from 1 species
UACGGAAGGCAGCAGUGGGGAAUAUUGCACAAUGGGCGAAAGCCUGAUGCAGCUAUGCCGCGUGUAUGAAGAAGGCCUUAGGGUUGUAAAGUACUUUCAUCGGGGAGGAAAAAACAAAACUAAUAAUUUUAUUUCUUGACGUUACCCGAAAAAGAAGCACCGGCUAACUCCGUGCCAGCAGCCGCGGUAAUACGGAGGGUGCUAGCGUUAAUCAGAAUUACUGGGCGUAAAGAGCACGUAGGUGGUUUUUUUAAGUCAGAUGUGAAAUCCCUGGGCUUAACCUAGGAACUGCAUUUUGAAACUGAAAUACUAGAGUAUCGUAGAGGGAGGUAGAAUUCUAGGGUGUAGCGGUGAAAUGCGUAGAUAUCUGGAGGAAUACCUGUGGCGAAAGCGGCCUCCUAAACGAAUACUGACACUGAGGUGCGAAAAGCGUGGGGAGCAAAACAGGGAUUAGAUACC